GAAAGGAGAGCGUGGUGUCUGGAGGUGAUCGGAAGGGACUGGCUGGAGUGUGGCGGGCUGACAGGUCUGAGGCCUGAAGGACUUCCGGGAACCGCAAAGCACGGUGUGCCUCCGCUGUCCUGAAGAAAAAGCCGCGCGCGGACGACUGGCCGGCCCGCGCUUGCAGCUCCCAGAAGUUGACAGGCAUCCUCCGGUGACCGGUGUGAGUAUGGCAUCAGGAUGAUUUGACUGCAAGCAACAGAAAAAUCAAACAAAAAUGGCCUAAGCCAAGAAGAGAAAUGAUUAUUUCACAUUCCAAGAAGUUUGGGAGUCGAGUGGUUAAACGGCUAAUUAAUCUAGAGCUCAACAGUAUCACCCAGGACCCAUUUUCACUAUGGUGGCUAAAGCUCUGCACCCUUCAGGCUUGCACCAUGGCAGCAGCAGUGACAGUAAAGACACCCUUACACCACAAUGCUCCAUGACCAGGGAGAGGGUCUCCUCUCUCCUGCCCCUUUCUGGAGGCUCCACCGAAGAUUUCUCUUCACAUUCCGUUUCUCAUUCCUGAAGCAGUUGCUGGCAACAGGGAUGGACUUACCGCAAUGGGUACAGAGCAACUAAGAUUCACCACUAGCAGAUCUGCAUUGUAAGAAAAAUGAGAAGAAUUCCUUCAGGAAGAAGAAAAAUGAUACCAGAUGGAUAUGUGGAUCCACAUAAAGGAACGAAGAGCACAGGAAAUAGUAACUAUACUGCCUAUGUGGUGAAUUUUAUUAGUGGAUUGCCCAAUGAUAAAUAAGGUUUCCUUCGUCAGUCCAGGCAGGACUGUGCGGUUGGAAAAGGGACGGAUGCUGGUCCUGGAAGGGGCGUCGUUAUCUAGAAGCUCCCAACCUAAGUGGGUGACUCAUAGGGAGGGCAAGGAGAGAAGGACACAGCAAGCAACUUACAUGUAAAACAAGACGUGUGGGUUAUUAUGGAAGAAAUUCACAACCAAACUUGGGGUUAGCCCGUAUUGUUUUCCAAGAACUCUAUGUGGACAGUGACAAAAAACAGACCUAAGAACUAGCAGACUGGGCAAAGCUUUUUCACAUAACAACAACAAAAAAAGCAAUUCCUCAGGAAAAAAUGGUCAAUGGGUCAUUGUGUGUAGACAAAACUACAAGUUCUGCUCCAGACUCUGGGGAAACCAUGCUGCCAUCUUCAAGCUGUGGCCAUUCUGUAAUACAGACUACGCUAAAUCACAUGUUGUCAUCAAGGCAGAAUAUUUUGUUCCUUUAUGGGUCAGCCUGGGAUACAAAAUUAGAGAAACUUUGCAA
rnacentral:lncRNA from 1 species